AUGAUCAAGAUCCCUCUUGUGUCUAACAUUGUUAAUAUCAUAGAAAUUUGUGACAGGAGCUGGACUCCUCAGCCAUCACCCAAGCUUCCAUUAUCCACAUCACCAAUAACAUAUAGAUAUCCCGUAAUCAUGUCAAAUUCCGCAAUGGAACAACUCAAUGGAAGAGGGUUCUCAACCAAAUUGUCAGUGAGAUGGUUUUCAUAA